rnacentral:rRNA from 1 species
AUUGAACGCUGGCGGCAUGCCUUACACAUGCAAGUCGAACGGCAGCGGGGGAGAAGCUUGCUUUUCCUGCCGGCGAGUGGCGAACGGGUGAGUAAUACAUCGGAACGUGCCCUGUAGUGGGGGAUAACUAGUCGAAAGAUUAGCUAAUACCGCAUACGACAUGAGGGUGAAAGGGGGGGACCGCAAGGCCUUAUGCUAUAGGAGCGGCCGAUGUCUUAUUAGCUAGUUGGUGGGGUAAAGGCCAACCAAGGCGACGAUCAGUUGCUGGUCUGAGAGGACGAUCAGCCACACUGGGACUGAGACACGGCCCAGACUCCUACGGGGGGCAGCGGUGGGGAAUUUUGGACAAUGGGCGAAAGCCUGAUCCAGCAAUGCCGCGUGUGUGAAGAAGGCCUUCGGGUUGUAAAGCACUUUUGUCCGGAAAGAAAUGGCUCUGGUUAAUACCUGGGGUCGAUGACGGUACCGGAAGAAUAAGGACCGGCUAACUACGUGCCAGCCGCCGCGGUAA